rnacentral:rRNA from 1 species
UACGUAGGGUGCGAGCGUUAAUCGGAAUUACUGGGCGUAAAGCGUGCGCAGGCGGCUAUUUAAGCUUGCUGUGAAAGCCCCGGGCUUAACCUGGGAACUGCAGUGAGGACUGGAUGGCUGGAGUGAGGCAGAGGGGGGUGGAAUUCCACGUGUAGCAGUGAAAUGCGUAGAGAUGUGGAGGAACACCGAUGGCGAAGGCAGCCCCCUGGGCUAACACUGACGCUCAGGCACGAAAGCGUGGGGAGCAAACAGG